UCUCAACUCCCUCCGUGCAACAAAAGAUGUCUUAAGUUUGUCAAAAAUUUAAAUGUAUCUAGACAUAGUUUAGUGUAUAGAUGCAUUCAAAUUUAGUCAAAGUUGAGACAUCCUUUGUUGGACGGAAGGAGUAUAAA
rfam:Brachypodium distachyon strain Bd21 chromosome 2, whole genome shotgun sequence.